GACGAACGCUGGCGGCAUGCCUUACACAUGCAAGUCGAACGGCAGCACGGGUGCUUGCACCUGGUGGCGAGUGGCGAACGGGUGAGUAAUAUAUCGGAACGUACCUUAUUGUGGGGGAUAACGCAGCGAAAGCUGUGCUAAUACAGCAUAAUCCCUACUGGGGAAAUCGGGGGCCAGUAAGGCCUCGCGCAAUUAGAGCAGCCGAUACCUGAGUAGCUAGUUGGUGCGGUAAAGGCUCACCAAGGGAACGAUCAGUAGCUUGUCUGAGAGGACGAUGAGCCACACGGGGACUGAGACACGGCCCAGACUCCUACGGGAGGCAGCUGUGGGGAAUUUUGGACAAUGGGGGAAACCCUGAUCCAGCAAUGCCGCGUGAGUGAAGAAGGCCUUCGGGUUGUAAAGCUCUUUUGGCAGGGAAGAAACAGCAGCUCGAACACAGUUUGAGAAUGACGGUACCUGAAGAAUAAGCACCGGCUAACUACGUGCCAGCAGCCGCCGCAG
rnacentral:rRNA from 1 species